AUGCCUUAGAACUGGGAUCCAGCACUGAGGGAAUAUCAUUUUUUAGUAGCCAGGGGAUUAUUCAUCAAACCUCUUGCCCUCAUUCACCUCAACAGAAUGGUGUUGUCGAAAUAAAACACAGAACACUACUUGAAGCAUGUAGAGCCCUACUUUUUCAGUAUGGCCUACCUGUGUCUUUCUGGGGGGAUUGUCUGUUAACUGCCACCUAUCUUCUUAACAAAAUACCUUCCAGAAUUCUUCAUCAUAAGUCUCCACAUGAAAUUUUGUAUGGAAAAGCUCCAUCUUAUUCUCAUUUGAGGGCAUUGGAUUCCUUGCUUAUGCUGCUGUCCCUAUCCCUCAAAGGGACAAGCUGAAAUCCAGAGCCUAUUCUUGUUUGUUUCUGGGUUACCCCUUUGCCAAAAAGGGUUAUAAACUGUAUAACUUGGUUACCAAGAAGUGCUUUGUUUCAAGGAAUGUUGUCUUCCAUGAAACUUAUUUUCCUUUUAAGAAUAAUCCUCCUUCUGUUCAUCCUUCUUCUUCAUAUGUUCCUUCUAUUCCUCCUGCUGAUGAUUUCACUGUCUCAGACUUUCCUAUCUUUACCUCCCCUUAUUCUCAUGUUCUUCCUUCUAAUUCUGACUCUCCUGCACCUCAUUUUCCUGAUGCUGGUUCAUCUUCCCUUCCUUCUUUCAAUCCUACCCCUGAUUCUCCUGUUCUUCCUUCUGACUCUGAUUCUCCUGCACCUGAUUUUCCUGAUGCUGGUCCAUCUUCCCUUCCUCCUUUCAAUCCUGAUCUCUCUGCUCCUGUGUUACCUCCUUUCCAUCCUCUUCCCACUUCUAGAAAGUCUACUAGACAGCAUAAUCCUCCUUCCUACCUUAAGGAAUAUGUCUGUCAACUCCCUGCAUUUUCUGGUUCUUCUUCCUCCACUUUGGAAUCUGAACCUGUGCAUUACUCUCAAGCUGCAUCUGUCCCAGCAUGGCAUGAUGCAAUGAGACAGGAGUUUGCUGCUUUGGAACACUUUGGAAUCUGAACCCAUGUAUUACUCUCAAGCUGCAUCUGUCCCAGCAUGGCAGGAUGCAAUGAGACAGGAGUUUGCUGCUCUGGAAGCUAACCAUACUUGGGAUAUUGUCCCUCUUCCUGCUGGUAAGAAACCCAUUGGUUGUAAGUGGAUUUAUAAAAUCAAAUACAAGUCUGAUGGUCUUGUUGAAAGG
rnacentral:lncRNA from 1 species